AACGAACGCUCUCGGCAUGCCUAACACAUGCAAGUCGAACGAGACCUUCGGGUCUAGUGGCGCACGGGUGCGUAACGCGUGGGAACCUGCCCUUAGGUUCGGAAUAACUCCCCGAAAGGGGUGCUAAUACCGGAUAAUGUCUUCGGACCAAAGAUUUAUCGCCUUUGGAUGGGCCCGCGUUGGAUUAGCUAGUUGGUAGGGUAAAAGCCUACCAAGGCGACGAUCCAUAGCUGGUCUGAGAGGAUGAUCAGCCACACUGGGACUGAGACACGGCCCAGACUCCUACGGGAGGCAGCAGUGGGGAAUAUUGGACAAUGGGCGAAAGCCUGAUCCAGCAAUGCCGCGUGAGUGAUGAAGGCCUUAGGGUUGUAAAGCUCUUUUACCCGGGAUGAUAAUGACAGUACCGGGAGAAUAAGCUCCGGCUAACUCCGUG
rnacentral:rRNA from 1 species